GACGAACGCUGGCGGCGUGCUUAACACAUGCAAGUCGAACGGAAAGGCCCUGCUUUUGUGGGGUGCUCGAGUGGCGAACGGGUGAGUAACACGUGAGUAACCUGCCCUUGACUUUGGGAUAACUUCAGGAAACUGGGGCUAAUACCGGAUAGGAGCUCCUGCUGCAUGGUGGGGGUUGGAAAGUUUCGGCGGUCGGGGAUGGACUCGCGGCUUAUCAGCUUGUUGGUGGGGUAGUGGCUUACCAAGGCUUUGACGGGUAGCCGGCCUGAGAGGGUGACCGGCCACAUUGGGACUGAGAUACGGCCCAGACUCCUACGGGAGGCAGCAGUGGGGAAUAUGGCACAAUGGGCGGAAGCCUGAUGCAGCAACGCCGCGUGCGGGAUGACGGCCUUCGGGUUGUAAACCGCUUUCGCCUGUGACGAAGCGUGAGUGACGGUAAUGGGUAAAGAAGCACCGGCUAACUACGUG
rnacentral:rRNA from 1 species